CCAGGUCCCAAAGAGUCAGCUCGCCGCUCCGUUGCGCCUCUCACCACUGCGCACCUCACCUCUCUGCGCCUCUGCCCCGACCCUGCCGCGUUCCCAGCCUCGGAGGGACCCCCGAGUUCCUGCUCCAGCGCCCUCUAAUGGCCAAGACCUGGGGAGCGCAGGAGAAAAGCAGGGAGACACUGUGCAGUAGGAGAGAAAUAUGAGAACCCCAAUCUCAGGAUUCAAGGUCUGGGGAUCACUGAAGGAAAGGCUCUGUAAACUCCUGUUCGUUUCUUCCCUGCACAGCUGCAAGAUCACAAGACAGAGACGCAUAACCUGCAAACCAAGUUUUCCCAGACAUUGUGAGCGUGCACACAUGUGCUUGGGAAACAAAUCCCAGACAUACGGACUGUGCUAUUAAUCAUCAAAGAAAAAGUCCAGAAACAAUGACGAUCUUGUAGCAAUGAGCAAUGGGCAACCCGAGUGUCCAGAUGAUGGUGUCCAAGUACCAUUUUCCUGUCAAAGAAACCAAGAUUCCUUGCAGAUAUACGACUGAUCCGAGGUCCAGGGCAGGAAAUGUGGAAGACUAGAAAACAGACCUGGAGAGAAAAACACUGUCCACCUUAUGUACUGCGAAAGCCCUGGGAGUCCCUGCGAGGAGUAACUACACAGGCCUGGAAUUAGCCUGAGCUGUCUUGCCAAAUCAUCAACGUGCAUCUGUAGGGCACUGACUCCUAGUCAAGGCACAAAACAUGUUCAUGAACAGUGUUGCCUUAUAACUAUGGGUCCUAAGUGGUUGAGGAUGGUUUGUACCAGCUUGUCAGCAUUGUUUAUUGACAAAAAUGAGCAUGAACUCUGUAAUUUCUUCCUUCUCUAAAAUCUUAGAUUAAAUCAUUUUUCCAAACAUGCUCAUUUCAUGUUUAUUGUAACCAGUCUCACUAAGACCCCUGGAGAGCUCGGCUGUUGAAACUGGUUACAUAGCAGGAAUCUAUGGGGCCAAGAAAAUACUAAAAAUAUUCAAGCAUGUGAGAUGGCUUGAAUAUAAAAAUAUUCAAGCAUGUGAGAUGGCCUGUGGCUGCAAAGUAUUAGGUUGGUGCAAAAGUAAUUGCAAUUUUUUUUUUUUUUGAGAUGAAGUCUGGCUCUAUUGCCCAGGCUGGAGUGCAGUAGCACAAUCUCGGCUCACUACAACCUCUGCCUCCCAGGUUCAAGUGAUUCUCAUGCCUCUCAGCCUCCCAAGUAGCUGGGAUUAUAGGCACGUGUCACCACGCCUGGCUAAUUUUUGUAUUUUUUGUAGAGACGGGGUUUCGCCAUGCUGGCCAGGCUAGUCUCAAACUUCUGACCUCAAGUGAUCCACCUGCCUCAGCUACCCAAAGUGCUGGGAUUACAGGCAUGAGCUACCACACCCAGCCAGUAAUUGCAGUUUUUGUCAUUACUUUCAACAGCAAAAACCGCAAUUACUUUUGCACCAACCUAAUCAUCUUUACUUUAAUGCUGAUGCCAUGUAGUAUCCUUUCCUGCAAGAAAUGCCAAUGUGUUUCUUAUCAUUUUGGGUCAUCUGAGUCUUAAAAACAUUGUUAAAGAGCAAUUGAACCCUGUUUAACUGCCAUUAGAGCACUGGCUAAGAACCUGCCACAUGGUAGACACCCAAACAUUCCUUAAAUUAGUUGAUUGAUAAAGAGAAGCUGAGUGUUCUGACUUUUUGUCCACUAUGAGCUCUUACAAAAGUUCUCAUUAGCACUGAAGAGAAACAAAUGUAAUUCAGCAUGAUAUUAAUACAUACCUCUCUCCCCAAAAGACAAAGAGCCUAUAAUUUUCACUUUUUGUUCCUAAUAGCGUCUAUUCAUCUCAAUAAUGAUUAAAAUGAUAUAAGUGGGAAGACUUUAGCACCUGCUACAAAAUGUUGGUUUGCAAGUACCUUUCUCCUCUCUCAGAGCCACCAUGCUUGAGUAGUGUCAGCACACGUCUCAGGGGCAAGUGUCAUCACCUGACCUUGGAAAUGGCCAGUGAUAGUGGACAUCUACACCUAAAACACUUAGAUUUGUAUUUAAAUGCUUAAUCUCAACAUUAAAGAGAAAAAUCUGUGUAUACAUUUACAAAACUAGUACAAAAAUUUUAAAAACUGCUCAUAAACUUAUAUAAAAGCUGUUGAUGCCCUUAGAAGAAUGAAACAAAUCAAAGCCCAUUCAUAUAUCUCUUGCAUCUAAAGAUGAAGUGAUUCCCAAAGGCUGCAAUUUAAGUUCAGUGGCACUGCUGUAAAUCACUUCAACCAAAUCCCAAUUCAGUGGCUGAAGAUGGAUGGCAAAUAUUUGGUUAUUUAGACAACAAUAAAAAUUACAGUAAUUUUAAAAAUUACACCCCAACCUAAUUCUUUUACCGCAGAAGUAAGUAUCUCAAUUAUUCUACAGUGAAAAACAAAAUGGAAUUUUCCAAGGCUACUUCCCUUGUAAAGACAAACCAAUAGCUCUAACUCUAUAAUUGUACACAUCAAAGGGCAAGAGCCCAAGCAAAGGCAAUGCUGAAAGAUCACAGUGCUCUGAAAACAGACGUUGUGGACCAUGGCUGAGUGGAUGGAAGUGGAAUCCUAAAUCCUUUGGAAUAUUGUCUUUUUGGAAAUAGUGAAAAAAAUAAAUCGAAAUGAUGACAACAGCAUAUACGUAUUAUAAUAUUUCAGUAAAAAUCACAUAGCGAGGCCGAGUACAGUGGCUCACAUCUGUAAUCUCAGCACUGUGACCCCAAGUGGGUCAGCAGAAAGACCAUGAGCAGGGAGAGGCGGGCAGAUCACAAGGUCAAGAGAUUGAGACCAGCCUGGCCAACAUGGUGAAAUCCCAUCUCUACUAAAAAUACAAAAAUUAGCUAGGCAUGGUGGCGCAUGCCUGUAGUCCCAGCUACUUGGGAGGCUGAGGGAGGAGAAUCACUUGAACCCAAGAGGCAGAGGUUGCAGUGAGCCGAGUUCACGGCACAGCACUCCAGCCUGGCGACAGAGCGAGACUCCGUCUAAAAAAAAAAAAAUCACAUAGAAAUAUUUAUAUACUCCAAGGAGUACAAGACUCUAGCAUCCAGUUCUAACACUUACUAUUUGCCUUUCAGCAAGUUACUUAAACCCUUCUGGCCCUUUUUUUCUCAUCUAGAAAACUGGCAUAAUUAAUAAUAUCUACUUCAUAGGCAUUAGUUACAUAGAUUAAAUGAUGUUACCCACAUAAAAUUGCUUAGGUAGAGCCUUGGACUUAGUAAACACUCAGUACAUGUCAGCAGUGUUUUUAUUAUCAUCGUUAUUAUUACAGAAAUUUUAUUCUCAGACCUAUUCAAAGUGCACAACUUCAGAUGUAAGGUGCUAUCAUCAUAAAUAAUAAUUUUCUUUACUGUGAUAUGAUCGGGUUGUAUUUUUCCAUUUAUAUUGUUGUACCUAUUUGAAGUUAAGUAAGCUUCAAAACAAAUCACUAUUCACUACUUCAUUUGAUCCUCACAACAAUGCUGACAUAGAGAGAGACAGGGGAGAGACUAUCCUCAAGUUACAGAUAAACUCCAGUUUCAGCUGAAAUUUAGGGAGGAAAGUGACUUGACCAAAGCCAUGCAACUAGUUACCGGCAGUGAAUGGAUUCCACGGGCACCCUGUAUAACUGCUCCUUCAGGGUUGAUACGGUUUGGCCCUGUGUCCCCACUCAAAUCUCAUCUCAAAUUGUAAUCCCCGUAAUCUCCAUGUAUCAAGGGAGGUGCCAGGUGGGAGGUGAUGUGAUCGUGGUGGUGGUUCCCCCAUGCUAGUCUCAUGAUGGUGAGAGUUCUCACGAGACGUGAUGGUUUUAUAAGGCAGUUUUUCCUGCUCUUCCUCACUCUCUUUCACCUGCCACUAUGUAAGACGUGCCUCUUCCCCUUUCGCCCUGACUGUAAGUUUCCUGAGGCUUCCCCAGCCAUGCAGAACUGUAAGUCAAAUAAACCACUUUUCUUUAUAAAUUACCCAGUCUUGGAUAUGUCUUUAUCGCAGUAUGAGAACAGACUAAUACAAGGGGUCGUCCCAUCAUUUCAGGCUUCUCCAAAAUACC
rnacentral:lncRNA from 1 species